rnacentral:rRNA from 1 species
CGCAUGCACUGGGCCGGCCGGGCCUUUCCCUCUGUGGAACCCCAUGCCCUUCACUGGGUGUGGCGGGGAAACAGGACUUUUACUUUGAAAAAAUUAGAGUGCUCCAGGCAGGCCUAUGCUCGAAUACAUUAGCAUGGAAUAAUAAAAUAGGACGUGUGGUUCUAUUUUGUUGGUUUCUAGGACCGCCGUAAUGAUUAAUAGGGACAGUCGGGGGCAUCAGUAUUCAAUUGUCAGAGGUGAAAUUCUUAGAUUUAUUGAAGACUAACUACUGCGAAAGCAUUUGCCAAGGAUGUUUUCAUUAAUCAGGAACGAAAGUUAGGGGAUCGAAGACGAUCAGAUACCGUCGUAGUCUUAACCAUAAACUAUGCCGACUAGGGAUCGGACGAUGUUAUUAUUUGACUCGUUCGGCACCUUACGAGAAAUCAAAGUGCUUGGGCUCCAGGGGGAGUAUGGUCGCAAGGCUGAAACUUAAAGAAAUUGACGGAAGGGCACCACCAGGGGUGGAGCCUGCGGCUUAAUUUGACUCAACACGGGGAAACUCACCAGGUCCAGACACAAUAAGGAUUGACAGAUUGAGAGCUCUUUCUUGAUUUUGUGGGUGGUGGUGCAUGGCCGUUCUUAGUUGGUGGAGUGAUUUGUCUGCUUAAUUGCGAUAACGAACGAGACCUUAACCUGCUAAAUAGUCCGUAUUGCUUUGGCAGUACGCCGACUUCUUAGAGGGACUAUCGG